rnacentral:misc_RNA from 1 species
CCGAGUUAGGGUUUCUUAUAAGCCCGACCUCCAACCCUUUGUUAAACCUACUUUGUUGCUUUGGCAGGCCCGCCUUCGGGGCCGCUGGAGGGGUUCAGUCCCCUCUGGCCAGUGCCUGCCAGUAGCCAAUUUAAAUUCACUUUUAACCAUGUUGUCUGAUCAUGCAAUUGAAAAUUAAUUUUA